GGUCACUUCAUUCAAAUUUCAAGUUGUAGUUGUUUGAGAGAAAAUCCGAGAGAAACAUGAGAGAAAUUUUUAGAAAAAUAGUGAACAAUCGGUUUCCAUAGUUUGAUGUUCGGGGGACUUGUCAAGGUUAAAGUGGUGGUGGAUCGUAACAUUUUAUCGGGAUUUUACUUGUCCGAUCGAAUUUGUAAUUUUUUUUCCUUUAUAUGUAAGGAAAGUCACGUGUAAUUAUCGAAUUUUAUUUUAAUAAAAUUUUCAGAUUUUACAGAAGCACUUGUAAGAAUAUGAAACAUCAGGGUACCCAAAAAAAUGAAGAGAGGGACGGCUUUAGGGUAUAUAAAUUUGUAUCUAUGUCCUUUCUUGGCGUCGAAAUAUAAUCGUAGAGAAGUGGUUUUAGAGAUUA